rnacentral:rRNA from 1 species
GACGAACGCUGGCGGCGUGCUUAACACAUGCAAGUCGAACGGACAGGCCCUGCUUUUGUGGGGUGCUCGAGUGGCGAACGGGUGAGUAACACGUGAGUAACCUGCCCUUGACUUUGGGAUAACUUCAGGAAACUGGGGCUAAUACCGGAUAGGAGCUCCUGCUGCAUGGUGGGGGUUGGAAAGUUUCGGCGGUUGGGGAUGGACUCGCGGCUUAUCAGCUUGUUGGUGGGGUAGUGGCUUACCAAGGCUUUGACGGGUAGCCGGCCUGAGAGGGUGACCGGACACAUUGGGACUGAGAUGCGGCCCAGACUCCUACGGGAGGCAGCAGUGGGGAAUAUUGCACAAUGGGCGGAAGCCUGAUGCAGCAACGCCGCGUGCGGGAUGACGGCCUUCGGGUUGUAAACCGCUUUCGCCUGUGACGAAGCGUGAGUGACGGUAAUGGGUAAAGAAGCACCGGCUAACUACGUG